AGACCCGAAACCCGGUGAUCUAGCCAUGGGCAGGUUGAAGGUUGGGUAACACUAACUGGAGGACCGAACCGACUAAUGUUGAAAAAUUAGCGGAUGACCUGUGGCUGGGGGUGAAAGGCCAAUCAAACCGGGAGAUAGCUGGUUCUCCCCGAAAGCUAUUUAGGUAGCGCCUCGUGAAUUCAUCUCCGGGGGUAGAGCACUGUUUCGGCUAGGGGGCCAUCCCGGCUUACCAACCCGAUGCAAACUGCGAAUACCGGAGAAUGUUAUCACGGGAGACACACGGCGGGUGCUAACGUCCGUCGUGAAGAGGGAAACAACCCAGACCGCCAGCUAAGGUCCCAAAGUCAUGGUUAAGUGGGAAACGAUGUGGGAAGGCCCAGACAGCCAGGAUGUUGGCUUAGAAGCAGCCAUCAUUUAAAGAAAGCGUAAUAGCUCACUGGUCGAGUCGGCCUGCGCGGAAGAUGUAACGGGGCUAAACCAUGCACCGAAGCUGCGGCAGCGAACGUAUCACCCAAGACAACUUUGCGGAGUUGACGAUUGACGGAGCGAAGCGACGUCAAAGCGUUCAUUAAAGUCGAGUUGGCUUAGGGAUACGUUCGUUGGGUAGGGGAGCGUUCUGUAAGCCUGUGAAGGUGGCCUGUGAGGGUUGCUGGAGGUAUCAGAAGUGCGAAUGCUGACAUAAGUAACGAUAAAGCGGGUGAAAAGCCCGCUCGCCGGAAGACCAAGGGUUCCUGUCCAACGUUAAUCGGGGCAGGGUGAGUCGACCCCUAAGGCGAGGCCGAAAGGCGUAGUCGAUGGGAAACGGGUUAAUAUUCCCGUACUUGGUGUUACUGCGAAGGGGGGACGGAGAAGGCUAUGUUGGCCGGGCGACGGUUGUCCCGGUUUAAGCGUGUAGGUGUGUGUUCCAGGUAAAUCCGGUUCACUUUAACACUGAGGCGUGAUGACGAGGCACUACGGUGCUGAAGCAACAAAUGCCCUGCUUCCAGGAAAAGCCUCUAAGCAUCAGGUAACACGAAAUCGUACCCCAAACCGACACAGGUGGUCAGGUAGAGAAUACCAAGGCGCUUGAGAGAACUCGGGUGAAGGAACUAGGCAAAAUGGUGCCGUAACUUCGGGAGAAGGCACGCUGACACGUAGGUGAAGUGAUUUACUCAUGGAGCUGAAGUCAGUCGAAGAUACCAGCUGGCUGCAACUGUUUAUUAAAAACACAGCACUGUGCAAACACGAAAGUGGACGUAUACGGUGUGACGCCUGCCCGGUGCCGGAAGGUUAAUUGAUGGGGUCAGCGCAAGCGAAGCUCCUGAUCGAAGCCCCGGUAAACGGCGGCCGUAACUAUAACGGUCCUAAGGUAGCGAAAUUCCUUGUCGGGUAAGUUCCGACCUGCACGAAUGGCGUAAUGAUGGCCAGGCUGUCUCCACCCGAGACUCAGUGAAAUUGAACUCGCUGUGAAGAUGCAGUGUACCCGCGGCAAGACGGAAAGACCCCGUGAACCUUUACUAUAGCUUGACACUGAACAUUGAGCCUUGAUGUGUAGGAUAGGUGGGAGGCUUUGAAGUGUGGACGCCAGUCUGCAUGGAGCCGACCUUGAAAUACCACCCUUUAAUGUUUGAUGUUCUAACGUGGACCCGUAAUCCGGGUUGCGGACAGUGUCUGGUGGGUAGUUUGACUGGGGCGGUCUCCUCCUAAAGAGUAACGGAGGAGCACGAAGGUUGGCUAAUCCUGGUCGGACAUCAGGAGGUUAGUGCAAUGGCAUAAGCCAGCUUGACUGCGAGCGUGACGGCGCGAGCAGGUGCGAAAGCAGGUCAUAGUGAUCCGGUGGUUCUGAAUGGAAGGGCCAUCGCUCAACGGAUAAAAGGUACUCCGGGGAUAACAGGCUGAUACCGCCCAAGAGUUCAUAUCGACGGCGGUGUUUGGCACCUCGAUGUCGGCUCAUCACAUCCUGGGGCUGAAGUAGGUCCCAAGGGUAUGGCUGUUCGCCAUUUAAAGUGGUACGCGAGCUGGGUUUAGAACGUCGUGAGACAGUUCGGUCCCUAUCUGCCGUGGGCGCUGGAGAACUGAGGGGGGCUGCUCCUAGUACGAGAGGACCGGAGUGGACGCAUCACUGGUGUUCGGGUUGUCAUGCCAAUGGCACUGCCCGGUAGCUAAAUG
rnacentral:rRNA from 1 species